AUUGAUUAAAACUAAUUUACUAUGAGAUUGCAGGAUGGUGGUAGUGAAUAGGUAACCCAUGAAGAGCGUUCGAAAAUACUGAGCUACGGAAUCACACAUUACGAAGAUUGCUACAACAAAAGGUGAGAACUUUACAAUCAUAAGUAAAUAGAACAAUAAGAAGUAUUUGCUUUAAUAGAAGUAAUUUUUUUUAUUGAUCUGCUAAGGAAGUAUUUUCUAUAAAUUAGAAGAAGGCUGCUCGUAAACAUGUCUCUCGCGUUACCGAGAAUACUUAUUUCACUUGUCCCUUCAAUGAAAACCAUUUUCUAGGAAUUUAUAUAUUUCUUUUACGACUGAAAAACAAAUUUAUCAUCUUUAAUAUCAAUUUCGUAAACUUUAUGCAUCAAUUAUAAUGUCUGCGACACGUAAACUUGAAUAACAUCCAGUUGCUUUUACUCCAAAUCCAACUGGUUUGUGGCUGCGGGAGGACCAGAAAACAAGGAGCUCAUAAGAUUGGCUAGAAUGUUUGGUUGAUUGCUAACAGGGCGAAUUCCAAAGUAGAUUUCUUCAAUCUUUGCUAAGGCCUGUAGUAAAAAAAUUUGUUAGCAAAACACUUUAGAAAUAAGA